rnacentral:rRNA from 1 species
GAACGCUGGCGGCGUGCUUAACACAUGCAAGUCGAACGAACCUUCGGGUUAGAGGCGGACGGGUGAGUAACGCGUGAGAAUCUGCCCUCAGGAGGGGGAUAACGGUUGGAAACGACCGCUAAUACCCCAUAUGCCGAGAGGUGAAAUGAAAUUCCCCUGAGGAUGAGCUCGCGUCUGAUUAGCUAGUUGGUAGGGUAAAGGCCUACCAAGGCAUUGAUCAGUAGCUGGUCUGACAGGAUGAUCAGCCACACUGGGACUGAGACACGGCCCAGACUCCUACGGGAGGCAGCAGUGGGGAAUUUUCCGCAAUGGGCGCAAGCCUGACGGAGCAACGCCGCGUGAGGGAUGAAGGCCUCUGGGCUGUAAACCUCUUUUAUCAAGGAAGAAGAACUGACGGUACUUGAUGAAUAAGCCACGGCUAAUUCCGUGCCAGCAGCCGCGGUAAUACGGGAGUGGCAAGCGUUAUCCGGAAUUAUUGGGCGUAAAGCGUCCGCAGGCGGUUUUACAAGUCUGUCGUUAAAGCGUGGAGCUCAACUCCAUUUCAGCGAUGGAAACUGUAAGACUCGAGUGUGGUAGGGGCAGAGGGAAUUCCCGGUGUACCGGUGAAAUGCGUAUAUAUCGGGAAGAACACCAGUGGCGAAGGCGCUCUGCUGGGCCAUAACUGACGCUCAUGGACCAAUGCCAGGGGAGCGAAAGGGAUUAGAUACCCCUGUAGUCCUGGCCGUAAACGAUGAACACUACGUGUCGGGGGAAUCGACCCCCUCGGUGUCGUAGCCAACGCGUUAAGUGUUCCGCCUCGGGAGUACGCACGCAAGUGUGAAGCUCAAAGGAACUGACGGGGGGCUCCGCACCAGCAGGAGGGAGUAUGUGGUGUAAUUCGAUGCAGCGCG